rnacentral:rRNA from 1 species
GAUGAACGCUGGCGGCGUGCCUAAUACAUGCAAGUCGAGCGAACAGAUGAGGAGCUUGCUCCUCUGACGUUAGCGGCGGACGGGUGAGUAACACGUGGAUAACCUACCUAUAAGACUGGGAUAACUUCGGGAAACCGGAGCUAAUACCGGAUAAUAUAUUGAACCGCAUGGUUCAAUAGUGAAAGACGGUUCUGCUGUCACUUAUAGAUGGAUCCGCGCCGCAUUAGCUAGUUGGUAAGGUAACGGCUUACCAAGGCAACGAUGCGUAGCCGACCUGAGAGGGUGAUCGGCCACACUGGAACUGAGACACGGUCCAGACUCCUACGGGAGGCAGCAGUAGGGAAUCUUCCGCAAAGGGCGAAAGCCUGACGGAGCAACGCCGCGUGAGUGAUGAAGGUCUUCGGAUCGUAAAACUCUGUUAUUAGGGAAGAACAAAUGUGUAAGUAACUAUGCACGUCUUGACGGUACCUAAUCAGAAAGCCACGGCUAACUACGUG